rnacentral:misc_RNA from 1 species
UAUCCGCCAAGACAAAAGCGGCAACUCCCCAUCCGCCUCUUCUCCGAGAAUCAUCUCAGUGGAUGAUGUGGGAGCCUCUCAAUGGGUUCGCAAAACACAGGGGUUCGCAUUCAGCACCCUCAGAACGCGUCAAAGUCUGGAAGGUGGCCGAAAGUCCGUGCGACACCUGAUGCGCUGCUGUUGCGAUUGUGUUAGUAUCAACUGGACAUUCACUACGAUGAUACUGACAAAAUUCAACCCAUACUGUGGUAAAAGGAAUAAGACUAACAACGCCAAUUUCCGUUUCUCAUGCGCAAGGACGGGAAAUGACAAUGAGGAUGAGCCCUGUGGUUACUUCAUCUACGCCAUGAAGAAGGAUAAUAUAUGGACUGUCAGCCAAAAGUACAACAAACCCAGGAAACACAACCCCCACAUUGGAGCUGGGCUUGUCAAUCGAGUCCAGAACGUUGUGUUGGGGAAAGAUCCAUCAUACUCGAAAUAUAAAACUGGAACCACCGCUGCCACAUUUGGGGAUGAAGUGGCUUCUCUCUCAGACGCUAUACUGACCUGAUGAUUAUUGGUAGCAGAAGACCGUCUCAAAGACCGUUUCAAAUACCGAUUCAAAGACCGUUUGAAAGGCCGUUUCAAACCCCUACGACAUCAAUUUUGACCCAUUUAACAGCACGGUAUCGACCAAAUCGUUCACGUACAUGUACUCAUCCACGUCCAACUUGGUUAUCAAACCUUAAUUAGUUUAAAGCCCGAAAAUGUGGUGAUUAAAUCAUCCCCUUCCAACCGGCAAAACACGUACAAAUUUUUGUGCAGCACAUUGUACCUUCUCAAAAUGGAUGUCCAAAACUCUAGAACAUGGUCUCCGGAAACCUACUCGAGUUUUCUUCGAAAUUCCUCCACCGUCGAAAACCGCGUUCGGAAACCGUCAACGCGUGAAAAAUCAGUUGAAAGUGAAUAUAUCGAAUGACCAACCCAGCAUGCAUACGAUAGUCCCCACCUU